AGCUUAAAGAGCCGCGGUAUUCUGACUGUGCAAAGGUAGCAUAAUCAUUAGUUUUUUAAUUGAAAACUUGUAUGAAUGGUUAAACAAAAGAAACUCUGUCUCUUUUUCCAAUUUGAAUUUAACUUUCAAGUGAAAAGGCUUGAAUUCUUUAAGAAGACGAUAAGACCCUAUAAAGCUUUAUAAUGAAAUAAUUUGUUUUUAAAAUAAAUAAUAAAUAAAAAAAAUUAUUGACUUAUUUUGUUGGGGCGACACAGAUAUAAAUAAAUUUAACUGUCAGAAUAAAACACAUAAAUUUAUGAGAAAGUAAAAUGAUCCUAAUUAAAGAUUAAAAGAUUAAGUUACUUUAGGGAUAACWGCGUUAUUUCUUUUGAGAGUUCUUAUUGAAUAAGAAGUUUGCGACCUCGAUGUUGAAUUAAAGGAUCUUUGUAGUGCAGCCGCUAUAAGAAGAAGGUCUGUUCGACCUUUAAAUCUUUA
rnacentral:rRNA from 1 species